rnacentral:rRNA from 1 species
UACGUAGGGACCAAGCGUUGUCCGGAAUCAUUGGGCGUAAAGCGCGCGUAGGCGGCCCGGUAAGUCCGUUGUAAAAGUCGAAGGCUCAACCUUCGAAAGCCGAUGGAUACUGCCGGGCUAGAGUACGGAAGAGGCGAGUAGAAUUCCUGGUGUAGCGGUGGAAUGCGCAGAUAUCAGGAGGAACACCGAUGGCGAAGGCAGGUCUCUGGGCCGAUACUGACGCUGAGGAGCGAAAGCGUGGGGAGCGAACAGG